UACGAAGGGUGCAAGCGUUGCUCGGAAUUAUUGGGCGUAAAGCGCACGUAGGCGGCCUUGUAAGUCGGAUGUGAAAUCCCUCGGCUUAACCGAGGACGUGCAUCCGAAACUGUGAGGCUCGAGUAUGGAAGAGGGUCGCAGAAUUCCCGGUGUAGAGGUGAAAUUCGUAGAUAUCGGGAGGAAUACCAGUGGCGAAGGCGGCGACCUGGGCCAAUACUGACGCUGAGGUGCGAAAGCGUGGGGAGCAAACAGG
rnacentral:rRNA from 1 species